UACGUAGGGUGCAAGCGUUGUCCGGAAUUACUGGGCGUAAAGAGCUCGUAGGUGGUUUGUCACGUCGUCUGUGAAAUUCCACAGCUUAACUGUGGGCGUGCAGGCGAUGCGGGCUGACUUGAGUACUGUAGGGGUAACUGGAAUUCCUGGUGUAGCGGUGAAAUGCGCAGAUAUCAGGAGGAACACCGAUGGCGAAGGCAGGUUACUGGGCAGUCACUGACGCUGAGGAGCGAAAG
rnacentral:rRNA from 1 species